CUUUUUUAACUAGGUAAAUUUUGUGGGGGUAAAAUUUUUUUUAGUGAAUAAAAAAGUUAAUUUUAAAUGAUUUUUUUUUAUUUAAAUAUUGAAUUUGAAUUUAAGAUUUAAUUUUAAUUAAAAAAUUAAUUUAAAAUUAUAUUUUUAAAUUUUAAAAUAAAUUUUUAAUUUAAAAUAUAAAAUUUGUAAAUUAAAUUAAAAUUUAAAUUAUUUAUUUCAUUUAUAUUGAAGUUAUAUUAAUUAAUAUUAAUUAAUUUAUAAAAAAAAAAUUAAUUUAAUAUAAAAUAAUAAAAUUAAUUUUAAUUUCUAAUAUAAUAAAAGUUAAAGUAUUAUUUAAAGAAAAAAUUUAUAAAUUUAUAGUUAAUUAGUAUUGUGAAAGAAUUUUGAAAUAAAUGAAAAAUUAUUUAAUUGAAAGUAAUUUUUAUUUAAUGUAUCUUGAGUAUCAGAGUUUAUUAAAAAAUUUUUAAUUUAUAUUAAUAUCUCGAAUUUAAAAGAGUUAAACAAUUAAAAAAGUUAUUGUAGUAAAAUUAUUUUAAAUAAUUGUUUUGAAAUGAAAUGUUAAUCGUUUUUAAAUAUAUCUAGUUUUUUUAGAAAAAAAUUUAAUUUUAAAUUUAUUUUAAAAAUUAAAUUAAUUAAUUAAUUUAAUUUAAAAUAAUUUUUAUAUUUUAAGGGAUAAGCUUUAAAUUAAAUUUUUAUAAUAAAAUUUUUUAAUAUUUGAAAAUUUUAGGAUUUAUAUUGUUAAUAAAUUUUAUUUUGUUAUAAAUAAAUUUCAUUUAAAUUAAAAUUUAAUAAAAUUUAUAUUUAAUUUUUUAUAAAAAAAUAUUUUUUAAUAAUAAAAAAUUAGAAAUAAUGAUAAAAUUAGUAUAUAAAAAAAAAUUAAUUUUAAUUUAAAAAGUUAUAAAUUAAUUAAUUAAAAGGAAUUCGGCAAAUAUUUAUUUUCACUUGUUUAUCAAAAACAUGUCUUUUUGUUUAUAAUUUAAAGUCUAAUCUGCCCACUGAUUUUAAUUAAAGGGCUGCAGUAUUUUGACUGUACAAAGGUAGCAUAAUCAUUAGUCUUUUAAUUGAUGACUUGUAUGAAAGAUUGAAUGAAAAAUUUACUGUCUCUUAAUUAAUUUAUAGAAUUUAAUUUUUUAUUUAAAAAGUUAAAAUAUUUUAAAAAGACGAGAAGACCCUAUAGAGUUUUAUAAUUAAAAUUUUAAUAAAUUAUUUAUAAAAUUAAUAUUUUUAUAAAUUUAAUUAUUUUAUUGGGGUGAUGAAAAAAUAAAUAAAACUUUUUUUAAUAAAUUAACAAAUAUAGUUGAUUAUGUGAUCCAAUAUUAUUGAUUAUAAGAUUAAAUUACCUUAGGGAUAACAGCGUAAUUUUUUUUUUUAGUUCAAAUAGGAAAAAAAGUUUGCGACCUCGAUGUUGGAUUAAGAUAAAAUUUAAAUGCAAAAGUUUAAAAUUUUUGAUCUGUUCGAUCAUUAAAAUCUUACAUGAUCUGAGUUCAAACCGGUGUGAGCCAGGUUGGUUUCUAUCUUUUAAAAAAUAGAAUAUUUUAGUACGAAAGGAUCAAUUAUUUUAAUUAAAAUUAUUUAUUAUGAAUUUUAUUAAUAAAAAUAAAAAAUUAUUAAUUAUUACUAUAUAUAUAUAUAUAUAUAUAUAUAUAUAUAUAUAUUAAAAAAAUUUUUAA
rnacentral:rRNA from 1 species